rnacentral:rRNA from 1 species
GAUGAACGCUGGCGGCGUGCUUAACACAUGCAAGUCGAACGGAGUGGCGAACGGGUGAGUAACACGUGGGUGAUCUGCCUUGCACUUCGGGAUAAGCUUGGGAAACUGGGUCUAAUACCGGAUAGUGCAAGAUGAGCUCGCGGCCUAUCAGCUUGUUGGUGGGGUAAUGGCCUACCAAGGCGUCGACGGGUGGCCGGCCUGAGAGGGUGUACGGCCACAUUGGGACAGAGAUACGGCCCAGACGCCUACGGGAGGCAGCAGUGGGGGAUAUUGCACGAUGGGCGGAGGCCUGAAGCAGCGACGCCGCGUGGGGGAGAAAGGCCUUCGGGUUGUAAACUCCUUUCGACAGGGACGCGGUACCUAAAGAAUAAGCACCGGCUAACUACGUGCCAGCAGCCGCGGUAAUUC